rnacentral:rRNA from 1 species
AGAGUUUGAUCAUGGCUCAGAUUGAACGCUGGCGGAAUGCUUUACACAUGCAAGUCGAGCGGCAGCGCGGGGCAACCUGGCGGCGAGCGGCGAACGGGUGAGUAAUAUAUCGGAACGUACCCUGGAGUGGGGGGAUAACGUAGCGAAAGUUACGCUAAUACCGCAUACGAUCUAAGGAUGAAAGCAGGGGACCGCAAGGCCUUGUGCUCCUGGAGCGGCCGAUAUCUGAUUAGCUAGUUGGUGGGGUAAAGGCCUACCAAGGCAUCGAUCAGUAGCUGGUCUGAGAGGACGACCAGCCACACUGGAACUGAGACACGGUCCAGACUCCUACGGGAGGCAGCAGUGGGGAAUUUUGGACAAUGGGCGCAAGCCUGAUCCAGCAAUGCCGCGUGAGUGAAGAAGGCCUUCGGGUUGUAAAGCUCUUUUGUCAGGGAAGAAACGGUGCGGGCUAAUAUCCCGCGCUAAUGACGGUACCUGAAGAAUAAGCACCGGCUAACUACGUGCCAGCAGCCGCGGUAAUACGUAGGGUGCAAGCGUUAAUCGGAAUUACUGGGCGUAAAGCGUGCGCAGGCGGUUUUGUAAGUCUGACGUGAAAUCCCCGGGCUCAACCUGGGAAUUGCGUUGGAGACUGCAAGGCUAGAAUCUGGCAGAGGGGGGUAGAAUUCCACGUGUAGCAGUGAAAUGCGUAGAGAUGUGGAGGAGCACCGAUGGCGAAGGCAGCCCCCUGGGUCAAGAUUGACGCUCAUGCACGAAAGCGUGGGGAGCAAACAGGAUUAGAUACCCUAGUAGUCC